rnacentral:rRNA from 1 species
UACGUAGGGUGCAAGCGUUAAUCGGAAUUACUGGGCGUAAAGCGUGCGCAGGCGGUUUUGUAAGUCUGAUGUGAAAUCCCCGGGCUCAACCUGGGAAUUGCAUUGGAGACUGCAAGGCUAGAAUCUGGCAGAGGCGGGUAGAAUUCCACGUGUAGCAGUGAAAUGCGUAGAGAUGUGGAGGAACACCGAUGGCGAAGGCAGCCCCCUGGGUCAAGAUUGACGCUCAUGCACGAAAGCGUGGGGAGCAAACAGG